rnacentral:rRNA from 1 species
GAACGCUGGCGGCGUGCCUAAUACAUGCAAGUCGAACGCUUUUUCUUUCACCGGAGCUUGCUCCACCGAAAGAAAAGGAGUGGCGAACGGGUGAGUAACACGUGGGUAACCUGCCCAUCAGAAGGGGAUAACACUUGGAAACAGGUGCUAAUACCGUAUAACAAUCGAAACCGCAUGGUUUCGGUUUGAAAGGCGCUUUUGCGUCACUGAUGGAUGGACCCGCGGUGCAUUAGCUAGUUGGUGAGGUAACGGCUCACCAAGGCAACGAUGCAUAGCCGACCUGAGAGGGUGAUCGGCCACAUUGGGACUGAGACACGGCCCAAACUCCUACGGGAGGCAGCAGUAGGGAAUCUUCGGCAAUGGACGGAAGUCUGACCGAGCAACGCCGCGUGAGUGAAGAAGGUUUUCGGAUCGUAAAACUCUGUUGUUAGAGAAGAACAAGGAUGAGAGUAGAAUGUUCAUCCCUUGACGGUAUCUAACCAGAAAGCCACGGCUAACUACGUGCCAGCAGCCGCGGUAAUACGUAGGUGGCAAGCGUUGUCCGGAUUUAUUGGGCGUAAAGCGAGCGCAGGCGGUUUCUUAAGUCUGAUGUGAAAGCCCCCGGCUCAACCGGGGAGGGUCAUUGGAAACUGGGAAACUUGAGUGCAGAAGAGGAGAGUGGAAUUCCAUGUGUAGCGGUGAAAUGCGUAGAUAUAUGGAGGAACACCAGUGGCGAAGGCGGCUCUCUGGUCUGUAACUGACGCUGAGGCUCGAAAGCGUGGGGAGCAAACAGG